GGCCCCAUCGUCUAGCCUGGUCUAGGACAUCAGAUUCUCAAUCUGGUAACACCGGUUCAAAUCCGGUUGGGGCCA
rnacentral:tRNA from 2 species